UCUUACAAUUUCUAUAUUCCUGUCUCAGUAAUGUUGUUUUUUCACUUAAUUCUUUGAUUAAUAUUUUUAUUUUUAAUAGUAAAUUGUAACAUUAUUUUGUAAGCCAGCAACUUUAGUCAGUUUAUGAAGUAAAUCUUGUUUUGCUUCAAUGUUUAAUGAAUAAUUUUGCGAUACCUAUUUUCCUCUUCAUUGUGAUCUUUUCUCCUUGACACGUAAGCAUAAUUUUUGGAUCACAAGAUACUCUCAUCACAAAGGCUUUCUAAGAAUUCUUUAACACUCCGUUUGGAUCAUGAGGUAGGAAAAGAAAAGAGAUAGCUGUAGUUUCUCACCUAGGUGAGAGAAUAAAAGAAAUGAUUGGUUUUUGACCUUUUUAUUUAGAUGAACGUUGAUUAAAAGAGGAUAAAAGUGACCUUAUAUUUUAUUUGUUUUGUAUUUAGAGGGAUAAUUUAGGCAUUAUAAUUUUUUUGUAAAGAGUAAUUUUAAUUUCUCACCAAAUCUCAUUACUUUUGGUGAGAAACAAAAUUUAAAAUUUUGUGUGAUUUGUGUUUUUUAUUAUUUCUCUUCCUUAUAAUUUCUCAUCUCAUUAAUCAUUUAAAUAAGUAAUGGGAAACCUAAUUCUCUCUGUUUUCUUUCUUUUCUCGCCAAACCUCUCCAUCCAAACAUCGCAUUUAGAUUUGCUCGGGUUAUAGUUUGAUUCAGAGUAAUUAAUGUCAGUUUCAGUGGGCAGAUAUUCAUUGUGAAACAGAGUUGAGGUUUCAUCAAUUGUGAAGACUAUGGAUAGAGUUUACAAUUUUGUUAGUACUUCAGAUAAUCAUUGUUUGGCUACAGUUGGCUUCAAGAGGAUGCUUAAUCAGUGUGGCAAAUUUGGGCAAAGGGUUUAUCAAAAGCAGCCGAUUUGUCCAUGCAAAAGUUAAAUAUUUUACUCCAACCUAUAUUAUGCCUUUUUAAAAUUCAUUAUAUUUUGAAGAAUUCCUCCCUAAAUCCAUCACAAUGUACUUAAAAUUUCACACGAGAGGGAGGGAAUACUUGAAAUUUCUUGCAGAAAAAUAGUAUAUUCAAACCUUUACAUCUGCCACAAGAUUUCUUUCAUGAUUUCUUUGAGAUAUUUAUAUUUUUUUGGGGAUCAAGGGCUAGAGGGUGUUUGAACGCCAAAAGAAUUCUCUUUGUUGAUGAAAACAUAAGUUUCUUCGCAGUUUGGGUUUUAAUAAUGGCCUCAAAUCGGGGUAAACAUAUUGAUGUACAAGAAUGAAAGUACAAUAUUUUACA